rnacentral:rRNA from 1 species
AACGAACGCUGGCGGCAGGCCUAACACAUGCAAGUCGAGCGGCAGCACGGGGCAACCUGGUGGCGAGUGGCGAACGGGUGAGUAAUGCAUCGGAACGUACCUUUCAGUGGGGGAUAACGUAGCGAAAGUUACGCUAAUACCGCAUAUUCUGUGAGCAGGAAAGCAGGGGAUCGCAAGACCUUGCGCUGAUUGAGCGGCCGAUGUCAGAUUAGCUAGUUGGUGAGGGAAAGGCUCACCAAGGCGACGAUCUGUAGCGGGUCUGAGAGGAUGAUCCGCCACACUGGAACUGAGACACGGUCCAGACUCCUACGGGAGGCAGCAGUGGGGAAGUUUGGACAAUGGGGGAAACCCUGAUCCAGACAUGCCGCGUGAGUGAAGAAGGCCCUCGGGUUGUAAAGCUCUUUCGGCCGGGAAGAAAUCGCACGGGCUAAUAACCUGUGUGGAUGACGGUACCGGAAUAAGAAGCACCGGCUAACUACGUGCCAGCCGCCGCAGUAACAC